AAAGUAAAUAAAAGAAUAGAAAAGAGAAUAGAAGGAGACGAAACAGAGAGCAGGGGAAAGAAAGAAAGAAAAAGAGAAAAUAAAGAUGAAAAGGGAAAAUUAAAGUUUGAAGCUUGAAGUUUUAAUAGCUAACGUUGUCUCGGGAAAUCUCGGCUAAGCAAGGAAAAAUGGCAAAAACAACCGGAGUUAGCUCGAGAAAAUACGGUUAAGGCUAGACCGUUGAAUCAGCAUCCCAGGCCGAUCCCGAAUUCAAUGAGGUGAUGAAUACGGGUUUAGGGUGUUACAAAACUACAGUCGCUUUGUCUACCACUGAAGCUAAGUACAUGGUGAUUACUGAGGCUUGUAAAGAAGCCAUUUGGUUGAAGGGACUCUUUAGUUAACUCAAUGAAGACCUUCAAAUCAAUACAGUAUUUUGUGACAAUCAGAGUGUCAUCUUUCUUACAAAAGAUCAAAUGUUUCAUGAGAGAACAAAAAACAUUGAUGUUCGGUAUCAUUUUUGUAAUAGCCUGAAAUAGGGCCUAGUUGAAACAGUAGUUACGAGACCACAAAUCCGAAUAGAAAUAUUUAUUUUAUAAUACUCUAUAGUCCAUGAUAUGUUUGAGUGAUUGUGUGUAAAUUUUGUUAAGUAAAUUUUAUUGAUAAAGUGCCAAAUUUUAUUAUUGGGAUUAAA